rnacentral:rRNA from 1 species
UACGUAGGGUGCAAGCGUUGGUCCGGAAUUAUUGGGCGUAAAGAGCUCGUAGGCGGUCUGUUGCGUCGGCUGUGAAAACCCGGGGCUCAACCCCGGGCCUGCAGUGGAUACGGGCUGGCUAGAGGCAGGCAGGGGAGAACGGAAUUCCUGGUGUAGCGGUGAAAUGCGCAGAUAUCAGGAGGAACACCGGUGGCGAAGGCGGUUCUCUGGGCCUGUACUGACGCUGAGGUGCGAAAGCGUGGGGAGCAAACAGG